AGUGAACGCUGGCGGUAGGCCUAACACAUGCAAGUCGAACGGCAGCACAGUAAGAGCUUGCUCUUACGGGUGGCGAGUGGCGGACGGGUGAGGAAUACAUCGGAAUCUACUUUUUCGUGGGGGAUAACGUAGGGAAACUUACGCUAAUACCGCAUACGACCUACGGGUGAAAGCAGGGGAUCUUCGGACCUUGCGCGAUUGAAUGAGCCGAUGUCGGAUUAGCUAGUUGGCGGGGUAAAGGCCCACCAAGGCGACGAUCCGUAGCUGGUCUGGGAGGAUGAUCAGCCACACUGGAACUGAGACACGGUCCAGACCCCUACGGGAGGCAGCAGUGGGGAAUAUUGGACAAUGGGCGCAAGCCUGAUCCAGCCAUACCGCGUGGGUGAAGAAGGCCUUCGGGUUGUAAAGCCCUUUUGUUGGGAAAGAAAAGCAGCAGGUUAAUACCCCGCUGUUCUGACGGUACCCAAAGAAUAAGCACCGGCUAACUUCGUG
rnacentral:rRNA from 1 species